UCAGCUGUGAGCCAGACCGUGCAGGGCAUGGUGGGCCGGGCCUGGCAGGGCAGUUCCCAGGGGAACAGGGAGAAGGGCUGUCAGGGAGCAGGAGCACGGUGACAGUCGCAUACCACGCCUGGCCCUUCGGGGAGCACUGCACCCUGCUAUGACUCAGCACUCACCACAGAUGCAGCAGGCCACACAGUCCAUGGCGCUCUGUUACAGCAACCUGAAGACUGAGACAGGCCAAGGCGUGGAGAGGGCCACCCAGCAGGGCCUUCUCUGAGGAAAGGAGUCCCAUAGAAGCAGGCCUGCCUUUCCUCUGGACGCGAAAGCCCAUGAAGAGAGUUCACCUACGGAACAGCAGAGGGACCCCGUACCUCCCUGCAGACAGCCAGGGGCCAAGCAAGAUGAGUAAACCUUCAGCAACCAUCCUGCGCCUGGUGUGUGGAGUGCUCGGCGCAGAGCCCGUCCAGGGCACACAUUCAGUGACUAGCAGAGGUGGUGUCUGCAUUUCAGAUGAGGAAACCGCUCCAAGCAUUCAUUUGAACCUGGGGUUCUGGUUCUGAUGAUGCUGUGUGGGGAGGCUACAGGAGUGAUGUGGCCUAAAUAUCUGAGGGCCUUGCCCUCCAAGAGAGGAUAGACAUUCCAGGGAUUCGGCCCUGAGCCCGGCCUGGGGAGCCGUGUGGGAAUGGGCAGAGCCGACCUCACUGUCUGUGAGCAUGGUGUCAAAAUGAACAGUUCGAGGAGCUGGAA